UACAGAGGUCUCAAGCGUUGUUCGGAUUCAUUGGGCGUAAAGGGUGCGUAGGCGGCGCGGUAAGUCGGGUGUGAAAUCUUGGAGCUUAACUCCGAAACUGCAUUCGAUACUGCCGUGCUUGAGGACUGGAGAGGAGACUGGAAUUUACGGUGUAGCGGUGAAAUGCGUAGAUAUCGUAAGGAAGACCAGUGGCGAAGGCGGGUCUCUGGACAGUUCCUGACGCUGGAGGCACGAAAGGCCCAGGGGGAGCAAAACGGGG
rnacentral:rRNA from 1 species